UAAGACUGCAAUUUUCUACAAUUUUCUAAUUCUUGUAUGAUCUUUGUAACAUUAAUUGUCACAAACAAUUUGGUUGGAUCUUUUGGUCUCCAAAGUACAUCCGAAUAUUUCCAGUUCUAUGACUUAUUCAGUCAAUUCCCAUAUCAUCAUCCUUGCUUGCAUUUGUUAUCUCAUUGUUGUUUUAUAUGAUGUUCCCCAGACAUGUUCCAUUAGUGGGCUUAUUUCAGUGGUUUCUUUGUCAUGACUGAAUUUUGGCUUUCAUUUUCGUGUUUUAGUGCUUCGGUAUUUGAGUAUGUGUGAUCUAAAACUUGAUUACCCCUCAUUUUGUAAGUAUCGGCUCAUAGUUCAAAAUUGUUUGUUGGAAUUACAUGUCGUCCAUUAGAAUUUAGUCAUUAAAAACAUACAUCAAAUCCAAACCUUUUAUACAUUCUGGAUCUGUUUUCUCUCUCUUUCUUUGAUGUGUCUUUUCGUGCCCAUAAAAAAGGAUCACGCAGAAAAAGCAUAUGUUCUAGACAACAGGUGCUGUGAUUUAGUUUAAUAUUUGAGUUGAUUUAUAGAGAUAGACGAGUCUACUGAUCUUAAUUUGGAUUUAUUCAAUCAAAUAAGAAACUAAAAAAAUAGCUUUAGAGGCACUUACAAUAAUUCUACAAUGGAUAACUCAGAAAUAACUAAACAAGGCCAACCAAUUUAAAUUUUUGAUCAAGCUUUUAAUUCUGUGUAAAUAUUGCGUGAAUGCCAAGUUCAUGUUACUUUCCAUGCAUAUUCUCUUUAGUUCCUUUUCCUUGAGAAGUGUCGAUAUUGGUGAUGCCAAGAUUAACUUAACUCAGUUCAGGUUUGUAUGCGUAAGAAAUGUGGUAGAUUCGGACGUGUGCUCCGUUGUGACUUACAUGAAUGUCAAGAUCAAGUGGAUUUUUCGAUGUGGUCUUAUAGUUAACUUAUUUUAUGAUAUGAAUAAAAUAUUUUUUAAUCACACUUGAUUUUACCUGUUGAUGGGAUCUUACAUUACACGUGAUAUACUUGUGUUGUGAUUAGGGGUGAAUAUUUCCGUGUCAGUCCUCCGUUAUAUUCUUGUUUAUAUUAUUUCCCAUAUUGAAACAAAGUAAAUCCCCCCGUAUUUGUUUACUAUAUACCUAAAAUCUCCCACAUCUCCUUCCUACCGACUACUGCAACCUCAGUUAAUCAUCCGCUCAUCACCUUUCAAUCACUUGUUUUGUGCUCAUGUAAUUAUUUUUCAUGACUUAUUAUUUUGACUUCCAUCUAAUGUGUCUUUUCCUACUCCGUCAUUGCCACCGUCUUAAUUGUGCCGCCUACGGUGGACUCUACGAUUGCUUUCUUUGCCGAUGCUGAUAUCGAAGUUUGAAGUCAACUACUUUACGGGUAUAAGUACUCCACAAACCAUGCCAUUGUCUCAUCAAGCAAACCGAGCAAUCCUCUCACACACUCUUCAUCCCUUCCCACCCUCGCCCCGAAUGGAAACCGAUGGAUUGUCUCGGGGGCAUUUUGGAUCUCUCUUGCACCUGAGGUGUUCGACGUAACGCCGCAACGAUCUGGUGCUCCUCCGCAUGGUGACGAAGCCAUAUUAUGGCCUGCUCGUUGCGCCGAUCCGUUCUAUUGUUCGGAUGAUGCUGACCGCCACUCGUUCUACUCUGCUGGUUUCGUCGACACCAUUACUAGCGACGGAGCCUACAGCAUGAACGAUCCAUAUACGCUUCAUGCAGUCACUAAAGCACUCAGCAAGAACGUGGAGACGAGCAGUGACGAAGCUGGAGACUUGAUUCAGCAAAUCAUCAACACCUCGUCCUCCACCCACAAGCGACAUCCAGAAGCCCAGCGGCAGCGGAGGUGGAGGUCCUAGAAAUAAGGCCCAGGUUUUGUCAUCGGUGAGUGUUCACAGUUUGCUCGAAUGGCUUUACCCACAACUUCUAUCACAUUACAUGCUUCAGAGCAAAGUCUGGAGAUGGUAACGAGGAAGACACAAUCGAUGAGUGCCCUAAUUACAUAUUACCGCAUAUAGUUAGUUAUUUUUAACAUUUCGAUCCGUAUACUUUAAAAAGUUACAUUGGCGCAUCCCUAUAGUUACGAAAGUGAAUCAUCCAGGUUUUUUUUUUUUUUAUGUCAUCGGUUUUAUCAACGAAAACAUUUCAUUUCGUAAUAGCGGACGACAUUGGUGGUGGCGGAUAGCGGGGCCACCGGGGGUCGCGGGUGGCUGUUGUUGAUAAAAAGAGUGGUGACGUGACGUAGUUGCCAAGCGACCCUUUCACCACUCUGCAUUUGCAUUGGCGUAGUUAUCGAGCGACCCUUUUGUCGCUUCUGUAUCUGCGUCGACGUUGACGUAAUUGUCAAGCUACAUCACUCUACAUCUAUAUCAACGCUAAUAUAUAUGUCAAGCGGUGAAAGGGCUAUCAAUGCAAAUGCCGAGCAGUGUCGAUCGACAACUAUAUCGACAUCGAUGUAGAUGCAGAGCGGCAUCACUCGACAUCUGCAUCGACAAUCUUUUCGUCGCUCGACAACUACAUCGACACAGAUGUAAAGCGAUCCUCACAUUUCACCGUUACUCUCCUCAUCCACAAUAGUCAUCUACGGCUCUCAGCGACAUCGUCGUCCGCCACCACCAACUAAACGUUAAAUUUUUUUUUUAUCUUUUAUUUUUAUGUUUCCAUUAGUAAAAUCGAUGGCAUUAAGAUAAAUGGAUCUAGAUAUUUCACUUUCGUAACUAUAAGGAUAUUAUAAUUAAUUAAAGUGUAGGACCAAGACAUUAAAGAUAGCUAAUUAUAAGGGAUAAUAUAUAAUUAGCUUUUGAUGAGUCGAUCGAGUAGAGCUGCAGCUUCGGCAGCUCAAGAACGACCUAUGCUCUACAUCGUUUGGAUCUGCAACUCCAAAUCUAAUUGCGACAAUAAGAAUGGGUCUUGGAUCAACCACAGGAGCUCAAAGCCUCUAUGCAAGGGUAAAUACUUAGUCCAAACUUGUUCUAUAGAGCAAUAAUUCUAGUGUUCUUUCUGAUGCUAUUGCUGAUUUUAUAUGGCUUGCAGAAGAGGAGAGAAAGAACCAACGAGACUGAGAGUUUAGCGUUACCUCUGGCAUCGUCCUCGAUGGAUGAGGAAAGAUGAGCCUGUCAGGUCACUUAUUGCUGUUGCAGACUCGGAAUAUUAGACCUUCCAUCUCUUCCAGAGAGUCCAGGCGUCGUAAUCUAAGCAGAAGUCAAGAAGAGAAGGUGCAGUCUAUGAAGCUUGGAUCAAAGCCUGAUUCAUACUGCUGUUGUUUGCUAUGGUGCUGAGACAUUGUUUGCUGUAUGUAGGUUCUGACACUGUUCCUACCAUACUCUUUUGCGUCCUUCACAAUCAUCUGUUGAUCCAAAACCAAUUAAUUCAUCCACUGCUGUCCAAAACACAAUAAAAAUAAGUAGGUGUAUCUGCUUUCCUCAUCUAUUAAUGUGUCAGCUGUAGGAUCUGAAAUCAAUAUGCAUUAGUAAAUAUGCUUUCUGCACUGUUUCCCUCUUCUAUUAAUUGAUACCAAGUAUAUAUUAUAUCUUUACUGACAACUUUGGGCAUUAUCUAAGUUGUUAUAGGCUAUUCAAUCUGGCAUAUUCCCAUCUUUACUUAGCAACCCCAAUGAUGCUUCCUCUUUCACUAAGAAAACUUGAUCAUGCUUGUGCUCUUAAUUUUCCAAGUCAAUAUCAUUUGUUACAAGGAAACACAUACUUAUCUAUGCAGCUUUGUGGCCAUUCAUGUAGGCAAUGCCAAAUUCCAUUUCCACAGGGUAAUAACUCAUGCACCUAAGUUGUAAUAGUCUAAUUAAGUUGUAAUAGGGUUGAAAGUAAUGACUAAUCUCGACUAAAUGAGUGAAUAAUUGUGAACAACCCUAAUAUAUUUUUGAUGAGAUGAUGCUGGGAUGGUAUUUUGGAAUAGGCAAAUUAGAGCAGGAGAGGAAAUGGGCAUUGUAGUACUAGUAGUAGUAGUAAGAAUAGAAUAGACGCCUCUCCAAGAAUAGAUGGCUCUUGUCGCAUUGCCGGGGAUUCCAAUUAUUGAUGUCAACUCCUCCACCUGCAACUUGCUAAGGAGAAUAUAUGGUUGUCGCCUUAGUGCUACAACUAGUAUUGGUGCCACUUCUCUUCUUGAGGUAGAAAGAAGAAGAUGCUUGUUUCUACAUACUACGUAUGAGAACAUAUAUUCUCAUGUAACACGUAACCUUACCUUUGAUGAGGGAAAAAUAUCCAUCGUCCAUUCGUAGUCAACUUGAAGUAACCUCAGCUGUUCUUUAUUGGUAUCAAGACCAACCUCAAUAAUGAUAAGAUCGAACUCCCUACAGCUACUCAUGAUCAAGACAACAUGAAUAGUACCUCAACCAAGGGACAGUCGGUUGUCAUCCUAAACUAUUAGGAUUCCAACAUCCUGUCUCCUUGUAAAAAAAGAAUACUGGGUCUUAAAAGAGAGACUCAAUUUAAUCUACUAAAACUCCUUUUGUUAUUGCCUUGAUAUCAUCGACCAGAAGUCGACAUGGCUCGGUCUUAAAAGUGCAAAGUCGUGCAAACGAUCCUCAUGACAAAUUGAAGGGGCGAUUGAUAUAACGUCAAGGUAUCCGAGGUGGCUCGGAGGUAGUUUUAGAAGAAUUCUCAGCUUCCUGUGGUGGGCUCUAGUCUCCUCAAGGUGUGCUGCAUUGAGAUCAACGUCGAGGAGACGAGGGGAUUUCUCGACCCGACCCCUCUGUCACUCUAGUUAGUAUUGUGGAGUUAUGGGGGUGAAAAGAUUUGCAAUGAGAGAGGGGGGGUCAACUUUUAUACUUAGAAGAUCAAGGGAACCAUUCAUAAUCACCUUAAUACAUUCCUCUUAUCGCUUGUCCAUAUGGGUGACUAACCCGAACGUACCCUAUAGCUUGUCGCCUAUAGAGAUUGAUCAAGAGGGGAGCAGAUCUGAUUGACCACCCAACUAAUGAUCAUAAUUUUAUUGAGAAUUUUAUCUAUUUUUAUUCCUCAAAAUCAUACAACUCUUGUUCUCUCACCAUCAAACAUCCUCUCUAAUCCAAAAAUCAUCAUGUCUCAUUUCAAUUUUAUAUAUCCCUAUGAUAAAAGAAUAAUAAUAAAAAAAAAGCUUCUUACAAGGGUUAGACUCAUCCCCUAUCGUCCAAGUCUAAACUGUGCGAUUGAAUUCGGUCGUUCCAUCCAUCCCCAUAAAAACAAAUGAUAUAUAUUGGAUGAGAUAACUAAUUAAAUUAGGGAUAUAUAUAUUCACUAGAAGUACGAUUAAAAUAAGGAAAAUAAUAACAAAAGCCAAACGACCACUAAGCAAUUGCGACUUGACGUGGGGUGCGAGGGACGCCAAAAGAAGGCCGUAUCAUCAAACGCACCAACGCCCCCUCCGCAAAGGAAUCAAACGGUGGGGAACGCGGGACCGACCAACCGCAGCAACACGGAGCUGCCCGCCCCCCGAAAUCCCAGGACCUUGGAACCCCUCCCGCCCCACCCCAAGGCGGUAACCACACCACCCCCAAUACCUCAAGCACGUUAACUCUAAGGUCGAGUUACCUAACCCCGGUCUCCCUUAUAUAUUCCCCCGUUCCCCUCACCGCCUCCGCGCCCGCUCCUCAUUCCGCCUCGCUCUUCUCCGCCCUCUUCCAUCUCCGCUCAAGUCUCCCAGAGUCGAAGAAAGAAGAAGAACAAGGAACUAAUUGUAGCACGUUUAGAGGAUUGGUAGAAGAACUAUAGUGGAAGAGAGGAGGAGGAAGAGCUGACCUCCGUGUAGCGAUCGAGCGGUGGAUGAGACAUCGUCGGAGAUGAGUUGCAACGGGUGCAGAGUUCUCCGCAAGGGCUGCAGCGACUCCUGCUUGCUCCGGCCUUGUUUGCAGUGGAUCGACUCCGCCGAGGCUCAGGCACACGCUACC
rnacentral:lncRNA from 1 species